rnacentral:tRNA from 1 species
UACCAGACAGCUCAGUUGGUAAAGCACUUGACUAGAGAUUAAGGGGGCCUGGGUUUGAAUCCGGGUCUGGUCC